AACGAACGCUGGCGGCACGCCUAACACAUGCAAGUCGAGCGGCAGCGCGGGGGCAACCCUGGCGGCGAGCGGCGAACGGGUGAGUAAUACAUGGGAAUCUGCCUGGUAGUGGGGGAUAACUCUGGGAAACUAGAGGUAAUACCGCAUACGUCCUACGGGAGAAAGGGGGGGAUCUUCGGACCUCUCGCUAUCAGAGGAGCCCAUGUCCGAUUAGCUAGUUGGUGAGGUAAAGGCUCGCCAAGGCGACGAUCGGUAACUGGUCUGAGAGGAUGGUCAGUCACACUGGAACUGAGACACGGUCCAGACUCCUACGGGAGGCAGCAGUGGGGAAUAUUGGACAAUGGGGGCAACCCUGAUCCAGCAAUGCCGCGUGAGUGAAGAAGGCCUUCGGUUGUAAGACUCUUUGUCAGGAAGAACGGUUGAGGCGUAAUAUACCUCGG
rnacentral:rRNA from 1 species